UAGCAUAUUGACCUUAUGAUUAUUUUGCUGCAUAAUAUAUCUUGCAUAAAUAUAAGUUCGCAAUUAUUGUGACAAGCCUACAAUCAUCUACAAAAUUUGAGCAAGGUUGCAUUCAACGAAUACACUAAAAUUUAUGUUGUUACCUUGUUCUCUUGUUUGUUACCAUCACUAGUGCAGUUAAAAAUUUGAGCAAGGUUACAUUCCACGAAUAAACUAAAAUUUGUGAUGUUACCUUGUUUUCUUACUUCUCACCAUCACUAGUGCAGUUGAAAUUCAAAAAAAAAAAACUGAUCACAAAGAUCGAAGACAUUGGCAUACAUCCAUUUCAUGCAACACAAUCAAUCGACGACUUUAUUGUGUAUUGAUUAUUUGCUUUGAUUUAAUCAUCAUGGAAAAAUAUUGCAUGGUUGAUUUGGCUUGAAUAGGUUAUUGCAUACAAGUUCACUUCUUUCCUUCACCUCCCUCACGGAUUACUUUACGUAGAUACCGAGAGAUUUUGUUACUUUGAGUGUGUUGGACUGCAUUUUGUACUUCUUGUAGUUGCUGCUAUUUUUGUUGUCAUUAACCUCUUGCUAUGUCUGUGCAUGAGGAGGAACUUGACGUGCAAGCGACUGAAUUGUUGGCGACGAAGGAACGCCUUGACAAGUCCGAGGCUGAGAGCAUUGUUCUGGCUGAAUGGUUGGCCACUACGGAGCGUCAACUAGCUCACUUAACACGGCUUAUGGAGGCUCAACAUGGGCAUAUUGGGGCACCCCCUUCCUUAGUUUCGGACAUUCCGUCAGCUGCUAGUGUCGGACAACAAGUUCUUCAACACUCCCGGCAUGAUAGGAGCAAAGGACUAGCGUCAUCAUCACACCAACAACAUCUUCACCACAAGCAGCCCAACAGACUGCAGUCGGUCAUUGAGAGACCUACUAUCAAUAACAUUGAUGAUCGGUGGCAACUAAGAUCAAACUCUAGAGACCUCGAAGACAAUGGUCAUUACUCAGACCAUGCGGACACCCCUAGAGGCGACCACCAAUCACUUGAGCGACACAGGUAUGAUCACUCUAACCCUGAUACUCAUUACUAUGGACGUCACUCCGUCUACACCAACAAUGCAAGACCUACCACACCGCCUGAUAGAGGCCAAACGCAGCCUGCUCCCCAAGCUCCUUUUAGACCUUAUUCUCCAUUUACUUUCAGCGAAUAUGAUGAGGAGGAUAUGCACUUAGCUGGCAAGGUAAACCCAGGUAAUUACCACCCCCCACUGGCUGAACCUAUCGAGAACCAAGUUCAUCUGGAGGGGUGGAUUCCUCCUUAGAUCCCUACACAAUUGUUUCAUGAUAAUGUUAAUGCUAAUGCCUAUGAUGAAUAUGAGAAUGUGCAGCCUAGGCAUAGGAGAGGCCACAAUGGAGUUGUGGGAAUGCAUAUAACCAACACAGUGACCGCGGCUUUGAGGAGAGAUGCCAAGUUCAACCCAAUCAUAACUCUAGACGCGAUAUCAAGGUAAAGAUUGAAAACUUUAUUGGUGAAUAUGAUACGGCUAUCUUUUUGGAUUGGUUCCAGGCAAUGGAACAUGCACUUCAACAUUGCCACUAUUCCGAAGAGGAAAAGGUAGAAAUUGCCACUUUGCACUUCCAAGGAGCCGCAAGGUCAUGGUGGCAUAGAGAUGUGGCCAAUAGAGCUCGCAUGGGACGUGAGCCUAUUCGACAAUGGCACCAACUUGUCUUCGUCAUGACUCAAAAGUAUGUGCCUCCGGAAUAUAAAAAUGAGAUGAGAUUGAAGAUAGCCUUAGCUCGACAAGGAACUCAAACACCUCUUGAGUUCUUUGCACAACUAGAAGACCUGUAUUUCAAGGCUGGCAUGAGUGCUACUCCGGCUACCGUUCGGACCAAAUUUCUCCAUGGUCUUCAUAUUGAUUUGAGGGAAGAGAUCGAUGUGCUACCCAUCAAGGACUUAACUGCACUCCCACACGCCGCUCAAAAAGUCCACUUAAACUUGUGCGCAAGAAGGUCUAUCCUUGGCUCUCGGCUUCUUCAGUAAAAAGGUAUGAUUCUAACCCUUGUCCUAAGUUUCCUACUAAUUCUAAUGCUAAUGUGCAGCCUAGGUCUCAAGCUCCUAUCUCUGGCCAGCCUACACGCCCCAUCGAGACUCCUAAACUGGCUGCAGCCCCUUCUCAACCUCCAUUUGCCACUCGUCAAGACAAGACAAGUGAUAGAGUAUGCUAUAAAUAUGGCGGCCGCAGACAUAUUAUGCACGAUUGUCCAAACCCUAGGAAGGAUGAUGUGCGUAAAAUACACACAUCUAAAUGGGGCUUUUAAGAUUGAUUUUAUGGACAUUUGGAUGUGAAUUGGUCCCAACACUCACCCUAUGCAUCUGUUUAAGUGCAUUAGGUCCAAAAGAAGUCAAAGAAUGAUAAAGGGAAGAAUUGGAGCAUAAUUGGACGUCAAAGUUGUCGAAAAAAGCUAAGUAUGCGCAUGAGGAAGCUGAACAUGGCCGUGUUGAUUUCAACACAGUCCGUGUUUCCAACACGGUCACCAACACGGCCGUGUUGGGUACAUCAAACAUCAAAGAAAAGAAAGUUCUUAGGGAGCACGGCCACAGAGAGUAACACGGGCAUAAACACUAGCCCGUGUUGGGAACACGGGCAUCAACACGGCCGUGUUGGCGGCGACAGGGGGAAUUUAUUAAAAGAAAAAAGAGAGGAAAGAAGAAGAAGAGCCCGGGAGAAUGUCCCAAACCCUAACUUUUAUCUCUCUAAGGGUUUUCUGAGCUGGAACCAAGGGAAAAGGAGACUUGGAUCAAGGUUUCAAUCGGAUUCCCUUCAAAGAUUGAAGAUUGGGCGAGGUUCGUUGAUUGGUUUUCAAAUCGAGCAAGAGGAACAAGAAUCGAUUCAAUUUGAGCAAGAGGAAUUAGGGCUGUUUACUCUCAUCCAAGGGUGUAAUCGGGUUUUCUCUACCUUUACUCAUUGUUGUAAUUGAAUUCUUGUGUAUUUUGAUAAUGAGCAUGAUUAGCUGGAUUGAUUAAAUCUAUUGGGAUUUCUUUACUAUGUUGGCUUAGUAUUACAUUGUUGGAUUGUUUGGGUUAGUUAUGUAUUCUUCUUGCUUUCAGUAUUAAUAAGAUAAUGCAUUAUUCAUGAGACGUUGUGAAUUGUGUGUUUAGAUUGCUUUGUGUGAUUGAGAAGUCCAUUUGGCAAUUGGAAUUUUGAAUAGCAAGAACUAGUUAAUAAUCGCUUAGAGAUAAGGAUAAUUAACUAGUCGGAUUAAGAAUUAACAAAGCUUAAUAGAGGCAGAUUAAAGCUUAAUGCUAAUUUAAGAAUCAAUCGUUAGGAAGAGAUUCCAACUUUAGGUUAUUAGGUUUAGGAAUUCGGUUAUCUCGAGGGGGAGACCGAAUUCGGUUAAGAAUUCAUCCACGGGUAGCAUAAUUAGACUCACCAAUCCUUUAUCUUUUGUUUGAUUGCCGACUAGUUUAGGUCCCCUUUGGGUUUGCUUUCUUGUCUUGGUUAUUUUAGUUAUUAAUUACUCCUGCAUCUCCCUUAGAAUUUAGCUUGUAGCUAUUAGUUAGUUUAGAAAUUAUUCAUCACUCAUUUUAAGUUAAUAUAACAAAGAACAAAGGAGUAACUCUAGGCUUUCACUUUCCUGAGGAAUACAACCUUGAUACUCGCCAUUAGUGCUAGACUGCAUUGAUAAGUACACUACAUUAGAUUGUAGCUAACACAAGUAGCACACAUCAAGUUUUUGGCGCCGUUGCCGAGGAAUGUUUGAAAACUAGAGUGAAAUUUGCUAUUUGUUAAUUUAGCCAUUUAUUUAUUUUUAUUUAUAUUUAUUUCUGUUUUGUUUGUACAUAUUUAUUUAGUUAAGUUUAUGAUUCAGAUAGUGGAUGAUAAGGAGGUUCAAUGCUAAACUCUUUGUAUGACACAUUGGAAAAUGGGAUCAGGAACCAAGAGAGUGCUAAAAAUUAGGAUACCCGUGCAUCUUUAGAAGCUCGAGAGGAAUUGUUUUGCAGGGCUACCGAUCAACUCUCCACUCCUAUCCUUUCAUCUCAAGUUUUUUAUGAAUUUUGUUGUAGUUUACAUUUGAGUAAUGAUUGUCCAUUAUAUAGUGAUGUUGCUCAUUUUUCUUAUAACUAAGAACAGGUGAAUUAUACGGGAAGUUGGCCAAAUGACUCGUAUGGAAGCACCUACAAUCAAGAGUUGAGCAUUCAUUCACCCUUUGGAUGGAGCUUAGAUGGCCAAGAACCACCAGAAUUUCAGUAGCCUAAUCUUGCACCAUCAACUCAAGGUGAAGAGUUAGUGUCAGAGGAGCUGAUGACGAGGUUUAUUGUAAGUCUUGAGGAUAGACUCCAACAAACAGAGAGGAAACUUGAAGAUCAACAAGCCUCAAUUAAGAACAUAGAGCAUCAAGUAGGCUUAAUCUUCAAGUUACUAGCUGAAGAGCAAUUGGGAACUCCAUCAAACGCUACUAAAUCCGAGGAACACUUGAGCGCCGUCACUUUGCGUUCAGGUGAGAAUUUUUCUAGGUUAUCUAUUAUGUUUAACGAUGAUGCUUCUAUGCAGGACGACUCUUUGAACAUGGAGAUAGAACUAGAAAAGGAAGAGGCAAACAUGAUCCCUCUGAAAGACUACCAACAGGAACGUACAAUUCAUGAUGCUGAGUUGCAGUUAGAGGAAUUUUUGGUGGAUUUUCCACAAGUCCCUUCGAUGAUGGAAGAUGAGCACGAGUUAUCCAAUGAAGAAGUCUUGGAAGAGCUCGAGUUUCUUCUAGCAAGUGAACCAAGCCAGGGACUAGAGAAAACCAUCGACGUUCCUGAAGAAAUUGCCCAACCGUCGAUCCUUCCAAUUGGUGAAACUUCAGCUUUCAAAUUGGAAGAGCCCCUAGAGCAUCAUGACUACAUGCAAUUAUAUGAGGAGCGAGUUUUGCCAAUCAUACUAGCAGCUUGCUUGACAGUCGGAAAGAGGAAAUUGACGAUUAUCCCUCUAAACAGAUACUUGAAGACAUUUGCUUGGAAGAAGGAUGGAUAGUCAUCAAUCCCCACCGUUUGCUUUUCACCAUGAGUCCAGCUAAGAAGACUCAUCACAUAAAAAAGAAGCGCUUUUGGGAGGCACCCCAAAUUCUAUUUUUCAAUUUUAAUAAUUUACCCUUUCAUUGGGAACUUAGUUUGAUUAGAUUUUACAGUUUAUUUUUAUUAAUUUUUAUUUAUGUUGAGUGUAUAAGUUGAGGACUUAUUGGUUGUGCAGGUGAGAAAGAGUGAGAAAGUGCUGAGAAUCGCAACUUUUGCAUUUUCUGGAGAUCAACACGGGCGUGUUCAAGACCGUGUUCAUUAACACGGACCGUGUUCUAAUUGAAGAAAAUCAAAUUAAGAUGAACACAUUCACAGUAGGCCACACGGGCAUUCAUGCCCGACCGUGUCCCUAACACGUCCCCGUGUUCCAUAAACACAGGCGUGUUCUCAGAAGUUGGUAAGUCAGAACGUUUAAAUUCGCUUAACACGGCCCGAUAUCCAGACCGUGUUUCUGAACACGGCCCCUGUUGGUGAACACGGGCGUGUUCCGUACACUGCCUAUAUAUACCACUUCAUUUCGAAAUGGCCAAAAAAUUUGCUCUCCCUUUAGUUUAGCAAUUCUCUCCUCUCUUACUCUCUCACUUCUUAUUUCUCAUCUUAAAGGCUUUGGAUAUUGUGUUUGUCAAGUAAGUACCCUCCAACUUCAUUUUCAAUAUUUUUUUUUAUUUUGAUAUUAGUUCGAAUUUAUGUUUUCUUUAUGUUCGAAUUUGUGUUUCAAUUUUUUUUAGUUUAUUUCCUUAUUUUAUUAUUUGGUGCAUGCAUUUACAUUCAUGUUUGUGCUUAAUUUUUUUUUUAUUUUCUCUAAUUUAGUUUAUAUACCUAACUUGCUCAUAUUUUCCGUUUUUCUUUUCUACUAUUAUUCAUGAUUGUGAUUAAUUCUUUAUUUUCCUCUUUAUUAUUAUUUUUGGCAACUAAACAAUAGGCUAUGUCAUAUACAGUGGACUCUGUUGUAUCUAUUUUAUAUUAGCAUGUUGGCUUUCCUUGUGAUGGAUUAUGGCGAAGUUAAACUCCAUGUGGAUGAAUUGAAAAUUUAAUUGGUUAGCAUUGGUUGGCAGUGUUGUGGAUUGAAUUUUCUUUGCAAGACAUUGAGCGGUUUAAUUUUAUCAAGUUAAAUCGUUCGGUUUGUCCAUUUUAUGCCGUUAUGCUGCCAGAAUUUCGUUGAUCCUUAGUACUAAAAAUUUCUUUUUCAAGUACCAUGUCCACCAAACGAGGAUCAGGAGUUUACAAGAGGAGGCGAACCGAUGGUUCCUCUUCCUCUCGAUCGUCAGGGGCUGCACUGACUAGUUCAGGCCAAAUUAGACCACCGCAGCACCAUCGAUUCCUACUUUUCCAAGGGCAGCCCACCUUUGAGCAGAGAUAUCAAUCAAUGAGGCACAAAGAUUUGGGAAAGGGGUGUAGGGUAGACUGGCCAGCAUUGGAAACCGUCGGACUUGCAGCUGCAGUCCGCCGAUAUCUUGAGACGCCCCCAUUUCAGCAUUUCUUUGAGAUAGUUGAACCAACAUAUAGGGAGUUGACUGUGGAGUUUGCCAGCACUUUCUUUCUGCAGAGCCAAUUGCGGGACUUCGAACAACCAGAUGCGAUCAGUCUCAGACUAGCAAAGCAAACUUUCACGAUGAGUGUACAACAGUUUGGGGUACACUUGGGCUUGUGGACUGAGGAGGAUGCAGCUGAAGAGGUUUAUAGUCACUGUAUACACACGCCUGGUGUGUCAUAUCCGCAAAUAUGGGCCGAGAUUUCUGAUGACACUGAGGGGUACAGUGCCAGCCAGUCCAAGGCAUCUAACUUGCCUAAGGGACUGCGGUACUUGCAUGCAUUGCUGGCUAGGACCAUCACUGGCAGGGGAGAUAGCGGUGGUGUAGUUACCCAGCCGGACCUAUUUAUACUUUACAGCAUGCACCAGUACCAGUCCGUCGACAUGGGAUACUUGUUGGCCAGACAGAUUAGUGCCUUCUGCAACAACUCAAAGAAGGUAUUUUUCUGUUUUGGGACUUACAUUACUCGACUGGCUAGGAGCUUAGGAGUUUUGAAGGAGGCGAUACCACAUAUGACAGAGCUCGGGGUGAUGGAGACUUUGGGACUUCCCCAGUUGAUUAGUAUGGGAUGGUGACUCGUAGGCAGGGUCCGCUAGGACCAGAGUAUAGACUGAGGAAUGCUAUCUUGGUAGCACUUAGAGAGGAGCGACCUGCCCCACGAGCCCAUGGUACACAGGAUGUCCCACCUUCUUCUGAUAUUCCGGAGUCUUCUUCCAAACCAUCUACUUCAGCUCCUUCUGGCUCUUCAUCAGUUGUUUUAGGAGUCUCUCCAAUUGAGUUUAGAGAGCUGCAGCUUACAGUGCAGAGGUUGGCAGAGGAGCAGCAGCAACAUAUCAUUCGACAAGAGGGUUUUUAGCAGGACCUUUUACAGCAUCAGGCUAACUUUCAAAACCAGAUGAUGGCUCAGUUUGAGAGGUAGAGGGCUAUGCUUUAGGCCCUGAUUGAGCAGGGAGGUAGGUUAGAGGCCUCUAUGGCCAAUGACAUGUUUGAUGAUAUUUUUGCUACAGACUUUGCACCUGCUUGUACACAGAGAUGGGUUCUAGAGCAGAGCCAUUUUGACAUCCCUCUAGCGGAUGAUCCAGCUGGCCCUCCCUCUCCGACUGAGCACCCUUCAACACAGCAGCCUGACGAGCCUCCUAUUAACGCUGCUGCUGCUGAUCCACCAGAUCCUGCAUGUGACACUACUUUCGAUCCUCAAAGAGCAGCCACUCCUCCACCACAGACCAGCCAGCGCCCUGAUAUACUUGCUGAUGCACCUCUUUUCACUCCGGAGCUAUAGUCAGGGCAGUAUUAAUUCUUUUUCCUUUUUCAUUUCUUAUAUUUUGUACACUGAGGACAGUGUGUCCUUCAAAUGUGGGGUGGUGAUAUUUAUAUACACUUAUUUUCAUGUUUUUAUUGUUUUGUAUAUGAAAUUCAUAUCCUUUUCUAAUGUAUAUAUCGCAUUUCAUUUAUCCUAUCUCAGUUAUUUAUUUAUUUUUUAUGCAAUUUUUUGUAAAAUUGUGAAACUUUUUCACUUUGUUUCGAUGCUCUUACUGUUGACUUGCUUUUGAAAUCCUGUUUAUGUCCAUGUGAUCGGGUAAAUCCGAUAGUGUUGAGUUUUACAAAAGAAUAUAAGAUAAUUAGUUUGAGUUUUGCACUAAGUUGCUUUGGUUUAUUUAAUUUUGUUUUGAUGAUUUUUGUUAGGAACCUACUCAAAAGCACACUUGUGAGAAAUUGAGCCUAAAUUGUAAGCAUACACUUUAUAUGCUUGUAUUUAUUUCUUGUUGAGAGUGCCAAUUACUGUCUUUACUUUUAAAACUUGCUCGGUAAUGCUUAUGAGGGCCACAAGGAGAGUUUAACACUUUGGUAUGAUAGAGGCACUUAGGUUUUUCAUUCUAGCCACAUAGCCUUCAUUCGUUUAUUGAUUUUGUAGAUAACCCCCUCUUUCACAAUUUUCUAUCAGAUUUCAUUGCCACUUAGUUUUAUUCUGCUUUGGGUUAUGAUUCUGCACAUGAGUUGUUUUUAUUGGGAAUUUUUGUCUUGGGAAUAGUGUGGAAUCUUAUAGCAGCUUUCUUCAAUCCAAAAGAGAUUCACUCUAUUACGUGAAUGUUCUUCCCUUAUGAAAAAAAAGAAAAAGAAAAGAAAAAAAAGAAAAAAAAACUAAAUAGAAGAAUAAGAGGGAAAGGUGAUGAAAAGAAAGAAAAUAAGUGAGCUAAACAUUUUGACUUGAUUCCUAUUUCCACCUUAGACUACUGUUCAUUGUUUAUCCCUUAUAACUUUUGUGGCUUGUGUGCAUGUCAUUUAUCUCAUUGCAGAACACCAUAGGUUCAACUCUUACCAAAUUUACCUACCCUUACCUAAUCCCCAUUACAACCCUUAUAAAGACCUCUUGACAUGGUUGUUGACUCUCCAUAAGUGGUAGGAGUAGGAUUUAAGAGCAAGCAUAUAGUAAGUAAGGCAAUAUUUGAUGCAUUGAGCGAUUUAACACUAUCCUUUAAACACUUUGAGUGACUUAGAAUGAAUCUUGUGAGGAGUUGGUUCUGAAUAAUUUUGUUGAGAUAGUAUUUUGUGAAUCAAUAGCAUCUUGGUUGUGAUGAUUGAAUUGAUUGCUUCGUUUCUUUUUGCUUGACUUACGCUUGUUAAGGAUAUGUGCAGGAGCUCUCUAGCUUGUCUGUCAGUUUAAGUGUUGUUCCUUAGUGGUUUAUCUUCCUUAUUUUACUUUUGAUUGCUUGAGGACAAACAAUGAGCUAAGUGUGGGGUUAUUUGAUGUGCAUAAAAUACACACAUCUAAAUGGGGUUUUUAAGAUUGAUUUUAUGGACAUUUGGAUGUGAAUUGGUCCCAACACUCACCCUAUGCGUCUGUUUGUGUGCAUUAGGUCCAAAAGAAGUCAAAGAAUGAUAAAGGGAAGAAUUGGAGCAUAAUUGGACGUCAAAGCUGCCGAAACAAGCUAAGUAUGCGCAUGAGGAAGCUGAACAUGGCCGUAUUGAUUUCAACACAGUCCGUGUUCCCAACACGGUCACCAACACGGUCGUGUUGGGUACAUCAAACAUCAAAGAAAAGGAAUUUCUUAGGGAACACGGCCAUAGAGAGUAACACGGGCAUAAACACCAGCCCGUGUUGGGAACACGGCCAUAGAGAGUAACACGGGCAUAAACACCAGCCCGUGUUGGGAACACGGGCAUCAACACGGCCGUAUUAGCAGCGACAGGGGGAAUUUAUUAAAAGAAAGAAGAGAGGAAAGAAAAAGAAGAGCGGGGGAGAAUGUCCCAAACCCUAACUUUUAUCUCUCUAAGGGUUUUCUGAGCUGGAACCAAGGGAAAAGGAGACUUGGAUCAAGGUUUCAAUCGGAUUCCCUUCAAAGAUUGAAGAUUGGGCGAGGUUCGUUGAUUGGUUUUCAAAUCGAGCAAGAGGAACAAGAAUCGAUUCAAUUUGAGCAAGAGGAAUUAGGGUUGUUUACUCUCAUCCAAGGGUGUAAUCGGGUUUUCUCUACCUUUA
rnacentral:lncRNA from 1 species